rnacentral:rRNA from 1 species
AACGAACGCUGGCGGCAUGCCUAACACAUGCAAGUCGAACGAGACCUUCGGGUCUAGUGGCGCACGGGUGCGUAACGCGUGGGAACCUGCCCUUAGGCUCGGAAUAACUCCCCGAAAGGGGUGCUAAUACCGGAUAAUGUCUUCGGACCAAGGAUUUAUCGCCUUUGGAUGGGCCCGCGUUGGAUUAGCUAGUUGGUAGGGUAAAAGCCUACCAAGGCGACGAUCCAUAGCUGGUCUGAGAGGAUGAUCAGCCACACUGGGACUGAGACACGGCCCAGACUCCUACGGGAGGCAGCAGUGGGGAAUAUUGGACAAUGGGCGAAAGCCUGAUCCAGCAAUGCCGCGUGAGUGAUGAAGGCCUUAGGGUUGUAAAGCUCUUUUACCCGGGAUGAUAAUGACAGUACCGGGAGAAUAAGCUCCGGCUAACUCCGUG